CAUAAUAUAUAAUAUAUAAAACUGACCGUGGGGUAACUAUGGUCAGAAACGUAGUUUUGUAUUAACGUAAAGCCGGGAUGUAUCAUGUUUAGACAUGACAACAGGUGGCGCCGUACAAAACGCACUGCACUCUAACAGACGCUCUCAACAUCGCUAGCAGACGACAAACAAUUAAACUACAAUGACCGGAUAACAGCUUCAGCUGGGUGACAGCAUAAUCGUUCGAGAUAAGGAUCUUCUGAUCAUCACGAGACUUUUUGACAAAGAUUGAACCGUCCCUGGUCCAGAACAUGUCUAUUUUCCCGGCGUGUUUGAGCUGAUUUAGACGAUUUACCAUGGCUUGCCUCACCUUGGUCAUGGCUUCAACUAUCAUAAUGCCAGAGCCUCUCAUCAGUUUUUUGGCACCGUACACUGAUUGUCUGUCAUAAUAACGGACGAAGCGCACUGUCACGUUUGCUCGACUGUCCCGCAUACCCCAAGGAUGUGACAACGAGAUAUGGCUGAAAGCUGAACCUUAACUUUCAAAGUUUUGUUACAAAUGUCAAGAAUGUUCGGCGGGAAUACUGUUCCUGCUGCUCGAGUAUAGAGGCGUGCUCAUCUACCCUCCUCUCCAGAGUGGCAAUCUUAGAUGAAAGAAAAUCGAUUUCUACUGCCUGUUCUUUGAUUUUAUCUUUCAGGGGAUGGAUAACAGCAGAACUCAUAGCAUCACUUAUGAUGUUUUUGAGUUUCUCGUCAUUCGACACGAUUUCUGACACUUUCUCCAUAAGCAUUGGCUUAAUACAGUUUAAUAUGGUAACAUUUACUGAUUCUCUUACAAUCACUGAUACAGGAUCCAAGAGGCGUUGUACAAGUUCCUUUAUGAACGUAUCGUUGGUAGAGCUUUGGGCCGGGGGGAUACUUGGUCGCCGACAGGGGAUUUGAAUUGGAGAAGUUUUUUAGCGGCCAUAUCUAUAGAAAAAUCCGGUGAUGUUUGGUCUAAUGUCCGUUUAUUUGAUACAGGAGUGGUGGCUACCAAGGCUUGCUCCUCAGAAAUUACAUGGAUAGGACACACACUGCUCACCUGUCCAUUCUGGUCAGUAUCGGCCAUAUUUAGUAGAAAUCACGGUACACUAUUUUGGAAAGUGUUAAUUUACAGCAACAGCAGUGACUUAAAUCUGAUAAAUAAUUGAUAAAGAUGUUCAAAGAAACCUCACAAAGCAACGAUCCAAAGCUCAAUAUUCAAAAUUCAGAACUUACAUUGAGAACUCAAAAAAAUACCCCACAGUAGGACGACGACCAGUCUAUCUCAUCUAUGACGUCAUUUCUCCUUUAUUGGAUGAAACUGACCACACGUGACGUUGGCUUCAGGUCAUGUCAUUAUCAACUACGUAAACUUUCGUUAGGAGAUAUGUGUUUUCAGUAUCGACUCGAUUUUUAGGAUGUCAUUUGACUAAAUAUCCCCUUGAACUAUUCUUUUUCUGCAAGAUACAUGUUUAUGUUAAAACAAAAACAUCGAUCCUAAUUGGCCAACAUAUUUCGUCCAGUCGAAACUCUUCUUUAAGUAUAGACUAGUAAUUUAACUGUCGCCAAUUUAAAGUCUUGUCUUUUGUUGUAACCCGGCCUUGUAUCUCGGUAAUGUGCCCUCUGUGCACUAGACAAUUGACUCUCUGUAAGCCGGCGUCAGCUUCCGUUCUGGUCUAGUGCGGAUGUUUCUACAUGGCUAUACAGGAUAGCUAGUUUUUGAGUAAGCUUGAUCUGAGAACGAAGUUAUAAACAGACUGUCAUCAAAUAACUUCCCCUUCACAAAUGUUUUAAUUUCAUAUAUUUAUUAACUUUCUUGCAACAGCUAAGACAAAUGGAGACUGGUGCCUACAGAAACAACGUCGAGAAAAGGAGUAAGGAAGUGAAAAAACGGAAAACAACUAUACCAAGUGUUGCUAUGGGGGCAGUGUUACUAUGGGAGCAGUGUAACUAUGGGAGCAGUGUUACUAUGGGGGCAGUGUUACUAUGGGAGCAGUGUUACUAUGGGGGCAGUGUUACUAUUGGGGUAGUGUUACUAUGGGAGCAGUGCUACUGUGGGAGCAGUGUUACUAUGGGAGCAGUGUUACUAUGGGAGCAGUGUUACUAUGGGAGCAGUGUUACUAUUGGGGCAGUGUUACUAUGGGAGCAGUGUUACUAUGGGAGCAUUGUUACUAUGGGGCAGUGUUACUAUGGGGCAGUGUUACUAUGGGAGCAGUGUUACUAUGGGAGCAGUGUUACUAUGGGAGCAGCAGAUCGAUUCUGGAGUUCUUUAAAUGUCUCCUAAAUAAACGACACAGUAGAAUGUUUUCCAUUUCCAGUUGUUUAUAUACACAGGUAUAAACGUAACUCUGUUAUUGAGAUAUCAUUUGUAUUUUACAUUAAGUUAUCAAUCCCCCAGAUUACGUCACCUGCUAUGCAUAUAGACUGCCCUUCGCGUGAAUGACCCAGUCAUACUGCGAAUGUUAAUGCAUUUGCUUCAUAGUAUAUCAUAUGAAGAUUUUCUAUUUGAAAAUUAUUAUUUUUUCAUUCAUCAGCCCUGAUUCUAUUUGAACACCCCCACCCCCCACCCUUAUCCCUUAUAGCUUCGAAUCAUAAUAGUGUACGUUCAUGCGAGACCCGCACAGGUCAGGAUUCGUGAAAUUGUCUGCCUUCGCAAUUUGUAUAUUAGUGUUACGUUUCGAAUUUUAGUAAUAAACUCAAUCUAUCAGUUUAAUAUUAAAUAUAUUACAAUCGCUAAAAGGCAACUUCACUGACUAACUAGCAAUAUGCCUACUCCCUACAAAAAGUCUCUACUGAGUAUAGAAUUCGUGCAGGGAUGACAAAUCAUCAUGACGUAACAUACCAUCCUCUAAAUAUGUAUCAGAAGUGUAAAUAUAUUAAGAGAAAGAAGUUUCUUACAACGACCCGUUGGAGCUAGGAAUAAAUUACCGGAGAACGCUGUACGUUGACAUACUCUGAACUGUUUAAAAUAAGAACGAAACAACUAAAGCCCAGGUAAACCAUGAUUUAUUAUGCAAUAAAGCAGGUAUAUGAAUAUUUGCAUAUAAUGGUAGUUAUAAUGAAGUGUACAAACGUAGUUAUAACUGCGAAGAAGAGUUCCAUAUUCUUCAUUUUCUUAGGAGAUGAAGAAACUAAAAAGAACUCUUAGAAUUACUGCAUUCUACACUGAUUUGAAACUACGGGGUUCAAGUGUUUUCAUACCUGGUUACAUAUUUCCUGGAAUUUACAGCAGACACCAUGACGGAUGGUAAAUUGAAUUUAGAAAACGUUGACCAUUCAGCAGCAUAUGGUAUCGUCACUUUUUUCCUUAUCAUGCUCUUGCGUAUAAUGUAUGUAGUCUAUGGUCGUUCUUUCUUCGUGGGUCGACUUUGAGUACCGAGUUCUGAUUUAUCCAUUGUUGUUGGCUCUGCGGUAUGUCUUGUGUGUUAUUGUAGUGGAAUUUGUGUGAUAAAAUCUACCUUAGAUUACUGGACAUCUUAAGAGGAGAGAAAUGUUAAUGUGUGAGUAUAUGCCAGUUAAAAUUUAAAUGAACACGACAAUUUGGCUUUGUUGACAUGUACUGAAUGCGUAAAAAAA